UGGAGACAUGAAGACAGAACCUCACCCAGAGAGCUGUACAUGUCAGUGUGUUAGACAAAUCCUAGAAAUGCCAUUCUAGUUCCGGUAAGACCGCUGAAGUUGUACUCUACAUAACUGACGUGUUAGGUACAGUCUAGACAGACUGUCUUCAUAAGCACAACAGUGUGAUAUUUACAGCACAACAGUGUGAUAUUUACAGCACAACAGUGUGAUAUUUACAGCACAAACAGGAUGAUUAUUUACAGCACAACAGGAUGAUUAUUUACAGCACAACAGGAUGAUUAUUUACAGCACAACAGUGUGAUAUUUACAGCACAGCAGGGUGAUAUUUACAGCAUAGCAGGGUGAUAUUUACAGCACAACAGUGUGAUAUUUACAGCACAACAGGAUGAUAUUUACAGCACAACAGGAUGAUAUUUACAGCACAACGGAGUGAUAUUUACAGCACAACGGGGUGAUAUUUACAGCACAACAGGAUGAUAUUUACAGCACAACAGGGUGAUAUUUACAGCACAACAGGAUGAUAUUUACAGCACAACAGGAUGAUAUUUACAGCACAACAGGGUGAUAUUUACAGCACAACAGGAUGAUAUUUACAGCACAACAGGAUGAUAUUUACAGCACAGCAGGGUGAUAUUUACAGCACAACAGUGUGAUAUUUACAGCACAACAGGGUGAUAUUUACAGCACAACAGGGUGAUAUUUACAGCACAGCAGGGUGAUAUUUACAGCACAACAGUGUGAUAUUUACAGCACAACAGGGUGAUAUUUACAGCACAACAGGAUGAUAUUUACAGCACAGCAGGGUGAUAUUUACAGCACAACAGGGUGAUAUUUACAGCACAACAGGGUGAUAUUUACAGCACAGCAGGAUGAUAUUUACAGCACAACAGGAUGAUAUUUACAGCA